AGGUUUGAUCCUGGCUCAGGACGAACGCUGGCGGCGUGCCUAAUACAUGCAAGUCGAGCGGACCGACGGGAGCUUGCCCCCUUAGGUCAGCGGCGGACGGGUGAGUAACACGUGGGUAACCUGCCUGUAAGACUGGGAUAACUCCGGGAAACCGGGGCUAAUACCGGAUGCUUGAUUGAACCGCAUGGUUCAAUCAUAAAAGGUGGCUUUUAGCUACCACUUGCAGAUGGACCCGCGGCGCAUUAGCUAGUUGGUGAGGUAACGGCUCACCAAGGCGACGAUGCGUAGCCGACCUGAGAGGGUGAUCGGCCACACUGGGACUGAGACACGGCCCAGACUCCUACGGGAGGCAGCAGUAGGGAAUCUUCCGCAAUGGACGAAAGUCUGACGGAGCAACGCCGCGUGAGUGAUGAAGGUUUUCGGAUCGUAAAACUCUGUUGUUAGGGAAGAACAAGUACCGUUCGAAUAGGGCGGCACCUUGACGGUACCUAACCAGAAAGCCACGGCUAACUACGUGCCAGCAGCCGCGGUAAUACGUAGGUGGCAAGCGUUGUCCGGAAUUAUUGGGCGUAAAGCGCGCGCAGGCGGUUUCUUAAGUCUGAUGUGAAAGCCCCCGGCUCAACCGGGGAGGGUCAUUGGAAACUGGGGAACUUGAGUGCAGAAGAGGAGAGUGGAAUUCCACGUGUAGCGGUGAAAUGCGUAGAGAUGUGGAGGAACACCAGUGGCGAAGGCGACUCUCUGGUCUGUAACUGACGCUGAGGCGCGAAAGCGUGGGGAGCGAACAGGAUUAGAUACCCUGGUAGUCCACGCCGUAAACGAUGAGUGCUAAGUGUUAGAGGGUUUCCGCCCUUUAGUGCUGCAGCAAACGCAUUAAGCACUCCGCCUGGGGAGUACGGUCGCAAGACUGAAACUCAAAGGGAAUUGACG
rnacentral:rRNA from 1 species